rnacentral:rRNA from 1 species
AUGAACGCUGGCGGCGUGCCUAAUACAUGCAAGUCGAGCGAACAGACGAGGAGCUUGCUCCUCUGACGUUAGCGGCGGACGGGUGAGUAACACGUGGAUAACCUACCUAUAAGACUGGGAUAACUUCGGGAAACCGGAGCUAAUACCGGAUAAUAUAUUAAACCGCAUGGUUCAAUAGUGAGAGACGGUUUUGCUGUCACUUAUAGAUGGAUCCGCGCCGCAUUAGCUAGUUGGUAAGGUAACGGCUUACCAAGGCAACGAUGCGUAGCCGACCUGAGAGGGUGAUCGGCCACACUGGAACUGAGACACGGUCCAGACUCCUACGGGAGGCAGCAGUAGGGAAUCUUCCGCAAUGGGCGAAAGCCUGACGGAGCAACGCCGCGUGAGUGAUGAAGGUCUUCGGAUCGUAAAACUCUGUUAUUAGGGAAGAACAAAUGUGUAAGUAACUAUGCACGUCUUGACGGUACCUAAUCAGAAAGCCACGGCUAACUACGUG